UACGUAGGGGGCAAGCGUUGUCCGGAUUUAUUGGGCGUAAAGAGCGUGUAGGCGGCCAUACAGGUCAGCUGUGAAAACUCGAGGCUCAACCUCGAGACGUCGGUUGAAACCGUAUGGCUAGAGUCCGGAAGAGGAGAGUGGAAUUCCCGGUGUAGCGGUGAAAUGCGUAGAGAUCGGGAGGAACACCAGUGGCGAAGGCGGCUACCUGGACCAGCACUGACACUGAGGCACGAAAGCGUGGGGAGCAAACAGG
rnacentral:rRNA from 1 species